CCUACGGGAGGCAGCAGUAAGGAAUAUUGGUCAAUGGAGGCAACUCUGAACCAGCCAUGCCGCGUGCAGGAAGACGGCCCUAUGGGUUGUAAACUGCUUUUGAACUAGAGAAAACCUUGGUACGUGUACCGAGUUGAUAGUAUAGUUAGAAUAAGCAUCGGCUAACUUCGUGCCAGCAGCCGCGGUAAGACGAAGGAUGCAAGCGUUAUCCGGAUUCAUUGGGUUUAAAGGGUGCGUAGGCGGACUGAUAAGUCAGUGGUGAAAUCUCUCAGCUUAACUGAGAAACUGCCAUUGAUACUGUUAGUCUAGAGUACAGAUGAUGUGGGCGGAAUAUGACAUGUAGUGGUGAAAUACUUAGAUAUGUCAUAGAACACCGAUUGCGAAGGCAGCUCACAAAACUGUAACUGACGCUGAGGCACGAAAGUGCGGGGAUCAAACAGGAUUAGAUACCCUGGUAGUCCGCACCGUAAACGAUGAUUACUCGUUGUUGGCGAUAUGACAGUCAGCGACCAAGCGAAAGCGANAAGUAAUCCACCCUGGGGAGUACGCCGGCACGGUGAAACUCAAAUGAAUUGACGG
rnacentral:rRNA from 1 species